rnacentral:rRNA from 1 species
GUAAGGAAUAUUGGUCAAUGGAGGCAACUCUGAACCAGCCAUGCCGCGUGCAGGAAGACGGCCCUCUGGGUUGUAAACUGCUUUUAUCCGGGAAUAAACCUGCCUUCGUGAAGGUAGCUGAAUGUACCGGAAGAAUAAGGAUCGGCUAACUCCGUGCCAGCAGCCGCGGUAAUACGGAGGAUCCAAGCGUUAUUCGGAUUUAUUGGGUUUAAAGGGUGCGUAGGCGGCCUGUUAAGUCAGGGGUGAAAGACGGUGGCUCAACCAUCGCAGUGCCCUUGAUACUGAUGGGCUUGAAUGGACUAGAGGUAGGCGGAAUGUGACAAGUAGCGGUGAAAUGCAUAGAUAUGUCACAGAACACCGAUUGCGAAGGCAGCUUACUAUGGUCUUAUUGACGCUGAGGCACGAAAGCGUGGGGAUCGAACAGGAUUAGAAACCCCAGUAGUCC